GCAAGUCGAGCGGUAACAGAGGUAGCUUGCUACCUGCUGACGAGCGGCGGACGGGUGAGUAACGCGUAGGAAUCUACCGAGUAGUGGGGGACAACCAGUGGAAACGCUGGCUAAUACCGCAUACGCCCUACGGGGGAAAGCAGGGGACCUUCGGACCUCGCGCUAUUAGAUGAGCCCGCGUGAGAUUAGCUUGUUGGUGAGGUAAUGGCUCACCAAGGCGACGAUCUCUAGCUGGUCUGAGAGGAUGAUC
rnacentral:rRNA from 1 species